rnacentral:misc_RNA from 1 species
UGGAUGCGAUUGAACACUUC